UUACUGCAUUUAUUACUUACCGUAAUUACAAACGUGCUUUAUGCCUUCAUUGAUGUUUUAUAAUUUGCAGGCUAUGGAGCCAACAGUGAUGCCACUCAAGCAGGGUUAGGUUCUUCACAAGGUCACACUGCCACUGAUUCAGCACCAUCGGAUUUUCCAGAAGAUGCACCUUCAAGUUCCGAAUGUGACGCACUGCCA